GUUUCAUUCGUAACAGGAGCGGCGGGGAAAGGAGGGGGGCAAGCGUUGGUAGGCAGUACUGGGGUGAAGACGGGGGUAGGUGGUUCAUCAAGUGGGAGGUGAAAUCCCCGGGCUCAACCUGGGAACUGCAUCCAAAACUACUGAGCUAGAGUACGGUAGAGGGUGGUGGAAGUUCCUGUGUAGCGGUGAAAUGCGUAGAUAUAGGAAGGAACACCAGUGGCGAAGGCGACCACCUGGACUGAUACUGACACUGAGGUGCGAAAGCGUGGGGAGCAAACAGGAUUAGAUACCCCGGUAGUC
rnacentral:rRNA from 1 species